rnacentral:lncRNA from 1 species
UUUUUGACUCUUCACAUUUUACAUAAUCCGCUUCGCGGAUUAUUUAAUAUGAAGAGUCAAAAAUUAGUUUUAUGGUUCAAUAAAUUCAAAAUAGAUAAUAGCCAUUCAUUAAAUUGAGAGGGGGUCCAAUCCAGGAGAAAAGGGGAUUUCAAAUAUAAUUUAUUUAUGUUCCCAUACAAAUGCAUUGAUAGUUAAAAAAGGGUUUCAAACUGCCGGAUCCCCUUUUUUUUUAAUCCGUCACUGAUAUAACUAUUAAUUAAUCUUAUUCGGAUUCCUUAUCAUAAAUGAUAAUGACUGUAUUGUGCACCGUCUAUUUCGAAUUUUAGUAAAAAUCUUUUAUGGGGUUACUUUAUAUAAGAUACGGACUUGAACAUUGCAUUAUAUGGGGGCACCCAUCAGGUAUUUCCAACACCUCCUAAACCAAUCAUUAAAGUUUUCUGAAAUUGCUCCAUUUGUACUCGAUUAAUGCAUUAUGGACCUUCUAUUUCUGUAAACUUACCAAAAUUAUAUCACAUGAAUUAACCCCCUACGCAAAGCUGUCUUUAUCCAUUUUUUGUUAUUUUAAAAGCGACAAGCUUGAUUUAUGUUAUCAUCAAUUGGUCAACGGAGGACGGUGUAAAUAAUCUUUAAAAAUGUAAUAGCUAUAAACAGAUAACUGUAACGAUACACUAUUACAAAGUCCACAAGCGAAUCAUGUAUUACAUUU